GCAUCGGGCUCUGCUCUGGGACUUAGCAGGAAAGACUCCAUGCUGGUAUUUGUCACUUCACUCUUCCGGAAGUUGGAUGCCAAGUUGUUGGAAGGACUUGGGUCUCCUGGGAGCAGUGCCUGUCCCCCUGCUGUGGAGACCUCCUGAAGCUUCGGGAUCCCUGGGUUGGUGACACCUGCCUGCCCUCACUUUGUUUGCCUCACUAGACUCUGAAAUUUUCCUCAGCAGCAGCUGAUGGAGACAAGUUUGACCUGAAGUUAUCCUCAUCCUAGUCGGGAGGAAGGCAUGUACAGCCGGGAGACCUGAGCCGGGAGACCAGGAGGAAGGCAUGUACAGCUCGGAGACCUGAGCCGGGAGACCGGGAGGGAGGCAUAUACAGCCGGGAGACCUGAGCCGGGAAAGAGCCUAGCUAAAGACGGCAAGAAACUUGGCUGCUAGUUCUGCAAAUUUGUUUGAUUUAUCUGAAGGCUGUUUGGUAUCUAUCUAGCUUCAAGAAACACGAGAAAUACAAAGAGGAAGAGACUGGCCAGAGCUGAGCAGCUGGCAUUCCUCCCGACUCUGACACCUGUCUGCUCAGUUUGGAGUGAGACUGUAAGCAUGUGUGUCCUUUCCAUAAACCCUGUUUUUCCAAAGUGACAAGCCCUGACUAGCACAGUCAUCUGUUUGUAUGCCCCACCCCGUGCUCCAGCCUAGCUAGUAGUCCCAGCAUCCCAGCAGUGAGCUAGCUCUACAGGAAGCUUUCCUUGUUCCCAGGUACUCUCUGUGUGGGAUGUGGCCUCAGGGGCUACUUCAUCUGGCCUGAGGUCAUCCUGUGACCAGCCCUACCCCCGAGGGAGCCCAACAUUUGAGUUCCACUGUAAAAAAAAACAAAAAACAAAACAACAAAAAAACCAACUUAAGUUUUCUCUGUUUUUAAAAGAUUUACUAUUUUUAUUAUGAAUUGUGUAUAUCUGUGUGACUGAGUGAGAGUGUGUGUUCCGUGUCUACCCUCACAGGUGAGAAGAGGGCAUAGAAUCUAGAGUUACAGGUUGGUUCUUAGAACUAACUUGGGUCUUCAUCAAGCAUCAAGGACAGUAUUUUUUAAUAAAAGUGGCAUCACUUCC
ensembl:lincRNA 0610033M10Rik RIKEN cDNA 0610033M10 gene